AUGACGUCAAGUCCUCAUUGGCCCUUAUGGGUAGGCUUCACACGUCAUACAAUGGUCGGUACAGAGGGUUGCCAAGCCGCGAGGCGGAGCCAAUCCCAACAAAGCCGAUCGUAGUCCGGACUGUUCUCUGCAACUCGAGAGCAUGAAGUCGGAAUCGCUAGUAAUCGCAGGUCAGCAUACUGCGGUGAAUACGUUCCCGGGUCCUU
rnacentral:rRNA from 1 species